AUGCUGUGUUACUUCUAUAGACAUGGAGAAAUCCCACUGAUUGGAUGUCUGAAACCAGGUGCAGACAGAAGUUUUCUGGGACACUGAGGGAUAUAUCAAGGGCGCCUACUAUGGGUACACCACUCAUUCUGAUGCAACCUCUGUACUUGGGUUCUUUCCAAGAUGCAAUCCCUGGAAAGAAUUGGUGAAACAGUUGCAAUUAAAAAGACACUUUUGAGGCUAUUAGGAUGAAAAAUCAAUCUUCCCUGACUGUCAUCUGUAAUUCCCAGCUUGCAGGUGGGCAGCCAUGUAAUUAUAUCUUUACCACACACACACACACUCAUUCACACCUUUUCUAUAUCAGGAUUGGUUACUUACAAUGACCAAAAUAUAAUUUUCAGAAUGAUAUAAGG
rnacentral:lncRNA from 1 species